rnacentral:rRNA from 1 species
GCCUGAUCCCCCCAUGCCGCAUGAGUGAUGACGGUCUUCGGAUUGUAAAGCUCUUUCAUCAGGGAAGAAUUAAUGACGGUACCUGAAGAAGAAGUCCCGGCUAACUCCGUGCCAGCAGCCGCGGUAAUACGGAGGGGGCGAACGUUGUUCGGAUUUACUGGGCGUAAAGGGAUCGUAGGCGGCCAUCAAAGUCAGAUGUGAAAGCCCAGGGCUCAACCUUGGAACUGCAUUUGAAACUUGGUGGCUAGAGUCAUGGAGAGGAUGGCGGAAUUGCCAGUGUAGAGGUGGAAUUCGUAGAUAUUGGCAGGAACACCAGAAGAGAAGUCGGCUAUCUGGCCAUUGACUGACGCUGAGGGUCGAAAGCGUGGGGAGCAAACAGGAUUAGAUACCCUGGUAGUCCACGCCGUAAACGAUGAGUGCUCGCUGUUGGGUUCUUUAGAACUCAGUGGCAAAGCUAACGCAUUAAGCACUCCGCCUGGGGAGUACGGUCGCAAGAUUAAA